CGGGCAGGGAUUGUGUGUAUCGGCGUUGUGCUACAAAUAAAUGCACUCUGUUUCCGAAAGAGUUCCCUGCUAAAUAAAAAGUCGGCUGAGGAAGGUGGGCAGUUGUGCUUCAUCUUGCUUGUUGGGAGUUUCAACAAUCAUCUUCCUCAUAUUA